UUGGCAAUGAUGAAAGUAAAAACUAUACGGUGGAUCUUAUAGCCAAAUGGAUGAUGACUAUGGAUAGACGAGGCCAAAUAUAUUUCAUUCCUUGGAUUGUUGAUCGACAUUGGAUGUUGGUGCUCGUGAUGAUGCGGGGGAUGACCAUAAUUUUGGACCCUUUAAAAAAUCAUAAAUCUCCACCAAUAAUUACGGAGGUUAUGGGAAAAGCAUACGCACAAUGUUUGGAAAAUGAAUACAUCGGCACAUUUACAAAAUUGGUGAGAGGUUCUUGUCCAAAACAACCUGAAAGUCAUGAAUGUGGUUAUUAUGUACUAAGAUACAUUUAUGAUCUUGUAA